GUGAAAAUGAAAUUGUAAAAUGUUUUUACUCUUUUGCCCUAAUAACUGUGAUUUAUUUUUAAUAGUGUUAAUGAUCAAUAUAUUCCUGUAUGAUAUUACAAUGAACAUUAUGCCUGCUUUUGGUUUUUUCACAUGGGAUGAAUUUUCUAGGUGCAGUUUUUGAUAUGCAUUUUUUUUUUAAGGAAAACAGCUAAUAUCGAAGAGAGAGUUUAAAAUAAU
rnacentral:misc_RNA from 1 species